UGAAUACGAGAUGCUACGGCGUCGAAGCAGUCUAUGUCAUACUUCCAAGAAAAGCUCGCACUGUCAUAAACAAAUAAUGCCUGUACCAUAACCGACACAGGUGGGUAGGUAGAGUAUACUAAGGGGCGCGAGAUAACUCUCUCUAAGGAACUCGGCAAAAUGACUCCGUAACUUCGGGAGAAGGAGUGCCUUAUUUAUAAGGUUGCAAUAACAAGAUCCAAGCAACUGUUUAUCAAAAACACAGGUCUCCGCCAAGUCGUAAGACGAUGUAUGGGGGCUGACGCCUGCCCAGUGCCAGAAGGUUAAAGAAGUUGGUUAGCAUUCGCCAAGCUGAUAACUGAAGCCCUGGUGAACGGCGGCCGUAACUAUAACGGUCCUAAGGUAGCGAAAUUCCUUGUCGGGUAAGUUCCGACCCGCACGAAAGGCGUAAUGAUUUGGAUACUGUCUCGGAGAGGGGCUCGGUGAAAUAGACUUGUCUGUGAAGAUGCGGACUACCUGCACCAGGACAGAAAGACCCUAUGAAGCUUUACUGUAACUUGAGAUUGAAAUUGGACUUUACUUGCGCAGUAUAGGUGGGAGGCGUUGAUAAUAUUCUUGCGGGAUUAUUUGAGCCAUCAGUGAGAUACCACUCUUGUAAUGUUAGAUUUCUAACUUUGUAUCAUUAUCUGGUCAAAGGACAGUUUCAGGCGGGCAGUUUGACUGGGGCGGUCGCCUCCUAAACGGUAACGGAGGCGCACAAAGGUUUCCUCUGAACGGGUAGAAAUCGUAUCUAGAGUGUAAAGGCAUAAGGAAGCUUGACUGUGAGACCUACAAGUCGAGCAGGGACGAAAGUCGGUCUUAGUGAUCUGACGGUGCUGAGUGGAAAGGCCGUCACUCAACGGAUAAAAGUUACUCUAGGAUAACAGGCUGAUCUCCCCCAAGAGUUCACAUCGACGGGGAGGUUUGGCACCUCGAUGUCGGCUCAUCGCAUCCUGGGGCGGUAGUACGUCCCAAGGGUUGGGCUGUUCGCCCAUGAAAGCGGUACGCGAGCUGGGUUCAGAACGUCGUGAGACAGUACGGUCCAUAUCCGGUGUAGGCGUUAGAAUAUUGAGAGGAGCCUUCUUUAGUACGAGAGGACCGAGAAGGACAUACCUCUGGUGUACCAGUUAUCGUGCCAACGGUAAACGCUGGGUAGCUAUGUAUGGAGUGGAUAACCGCUGAAAGCAUCUAAGUGGGAAGCCCACCUCAAGAUAAG
rnacentral:rRNA from 1 species